rnacentral:lncRNA from 1 species
AUGCUUGAACUUCUAUAUAUAUAUAUAUAUAUAUAUGAAUAUAUUUAUGCAAAUGCGUUUUGUACAAGAAUGGUCGAAAGGAUAAAUGGGUCAUACGGGUCAGAUGGCGAUCUCCAUUUGAACUCGGUAGUUAAUGUUUUGAUAUGUUAAGUUUUGUACUCAUAGGUGAGCUUGAUGAAUGGACACGCAAUGUUACUAAUCAGAAAGGAAGGAUCAUCGUAAGGUAUGGAUAACGAAUCAAUGGAAUUUACUUCCGUCAGGUAUGUAUAAAAAGAAGUGUAACUUUAAUAGAGGUUAGUACUCGACUAGAAAUGGAUGUGUCAGAAUAGAAUGUAUGUAUAUAUACAAACCGUAAUGCAAAAUGUGGAGUGAAUUUCAAAAUGUUCGUAAUGAUCAUCGGGUAGUAUUGAACUUGAAUGCUCGUAACUGUGGAAAUUCUGAUAGAAUAUAAGAGACGAUAAGUAUCCUUAAGAAAUGCUAACUUUGAUGCUCGGCUUGUUGGCCAUGUUCAUUUGAACAAGACAUUGUAGAAAAGAUACGCAUGGCAUAAAUAACAAUAAUAACCAUGGAAAUAAUGCUUAGUCUUCGUGAUUUAAGUAUGGAUAAGUAAGUUUAAGAAAGGAUGUUGGUAACGGGAUGAUAAGGUUUGCUCGUGGUGAACAUAAUGAAAUAAUGUAUAUGAUAUAAUGAUAGAAUGAAACAAAUCAUAGAAAGUGAAAACGACACUAAUAAGAGCUCUGGAUCAGAUUAUGAGUUUUAUGUGAUUAUGAAAAUAAAUUACAUAAUUUAAGAACGUAAGGACAAUGCGUACAAUCAUGUUUAGGUAUGAAACAAACUUUUGACCAAGAUCCCGAAUGUAUUCAUGUUGUAAUAAGCAUCGUGAAUGAAUAGAUGGAAAGGUAAGAGUAGUAUUGGGCUACUAAGAAUAAGAAAGGUUUCGGGGACGAAACCUUCUUUAAGGGGGGUAGACUUGUAACACGCCAAAUUUCGUAAGAUAUAUUACAAUGUUUUAAUCGCAAUAUUUGACUUUCAGAAAUGAUAAACAUAGAUUUCUACUAUUAUUAAAGUUUUAUAAACUAUGGAAAGUUUAAAGCAUAUGUGCACAUAAAGUUAACCAAGUUAGUAUGUGAAAUGAAAUAAGUGGCAUGUUUUAAAAGAUAGAGGGGUUAAAAUGGAAAUAUGCUAUAAAUAAACACUUGACAAAAAAAAAUUAGUCAGUGUUUGGUCUGGGCGUGCGAACGAGGAGAAGGAACCAAGGGAACCAAAACCCUAAACAACCUAAAAUCAUCAAAUUGAAAGGGGAAUCGAGGGCUGAUCGAAUGCAUGAGUCUAGAUACCCUUUAAUUUAAGUGUAUUGAUCAUAAGGAACGUGUCAAGGAGAGCUCAAGCAUAGGAGGAUAACG